rnacentral:rRNA from 1 species
AUGGGCGCAAGCAAGGCGAGCUUCUGGGAGCCAGCCUGGCUUGAUGAGCUUAGACCUAAGCACAUUGCACCACUAAUUUUUGACAUCUCCAGAAGCAAAAGGUGGAGUGUAAGGAAGGCAAUUCAGAAUGGUGCUUGGGUGGACAAAAUUCGGUUCUCAAAUGGCCUAACAGUGGCGCACAUCCAAGAAUUCAUCUCGCUUUGGACUCUGGUGACCCAGGUGCAACUACAAGACAACCACCCCGACACCAUCACUUGCAAGCUCACCACCUCAGGGCAUUAUUCGGCGGCCACUGCAUACAAGGCGCAGUUUUGCGGCAUCAUGGCUUCUAGCUUCAAGAACACGAUUUGGAAGAACUGGGCACCGCCAAAAUGCAAGUUCUUUGCCUGGUUGAUCACUCAGAACCGGGUAUGGACGGCCGACCGCCUUGCUGAACAUGGUUGGCCAAAUUGUAGGAAUAUUAGUUUCACUGAAUUAACUAAUAAAAACAUUAGUAUAGCACUUGGUGUCGUCUUAUGGCAAUACAUAUCACUAGUUCUUGGUAGAGCUACAAUGAUUUAUACAAAACGAUAA